UACAGGGGGGGCAAGCGUUGUUCGGAAUUACUGGGCGUAAAGGGCUCGUAGGCGGCCAACUAAGUCCGACGUGAAAUCCCAAAGCUUAACUUUGGAACUGCGUCGGAUACUGGAUGGCUUGAAUUCGGGAGAGGGAUGCAGAAUUCCAGGUGUAGCGGUGAAAUGCGUAGAUAUCUGGAGGAAUACCGGUGGCGAAGGCGGCAUCCUGGACCAUUACUGACGCUGAGGCGCGAAAGCUAGGGGAGCAAACGGG
rnacentral:rRNA from 1 species